CCUACGUGAGGCAGCAGUGAGGAAUAUUGGUCAAUGGGCUUACGCCUGAACCAGCCAAGUCGCGUGAGGGAAGACUGCCCUAUGGGUUGUAAACCUCUUUUGUCAGGGAGCAACGCCGGCUACGUGUAGCCGGACUGAGAGUACCUGAAGAAAAAGCAUCGGCUAACUCCGUGCCAGCAGCCGCGGUAAUACGGAGGAUGCGAGCGUUAUCCGGAUUUAUUGGGUUUAAAGAGUGCGUAGGCGGAAUGCCAAGUCAGCGGUAAAAUCGCGGGGCUCAACCUCGCUCCGCCGUUGAAACUGGCGUUCUUGAGUGGGCGAGAAGUAUGCGGAAGGCGUGGUGUAGCGGUGAAAUGCAUAGAUAUCACGCAGAACUCCGAUUGAGAAGGCAGCAUACCGGCGCCCAACUGACGCUGAAGCACGAAAGCGUGGGUAUCGAACAGGAUUAGAUACCCUAGUAGUC
rnacentral:rRNA from 1 species